rnacentral:rRNA from 1 species
GGGUUAAGUCCCGCAACGAGCGCAACCCCGCCGUUAGUUGCCAGCGGUUCGGCCGGGCACUCUAACGGGACUGCCCGCGAAAAGCGGGAGGAAGGAGGGGACGACGUCUGGUCAGCAUGGCCCUUACGGCCUGGGCGACACACGUGCUACAAUGCCCACUACAAAGCGAUGCCACCCGGCAACGGGGAGCUAAUCGCAAAAAGGUGGGCCCAGUUCGGAUUGGGGUCUGCAACCCGACCCCAUGAAGCCGGAAUCGCUAGUAAUCGCGGAUCAGCCAUGCCGCGGUGAAUACGUUCCCGGGCCUU